UACGAAGGGGGCUAGCGUUGCUCGGAAUCACUGGGCGUAAAGGGCGCGUAGGCGGGUCCUUAAGUCAGGGGUGAAAUCCUGGAGCUCAACUCCAGAACUGCCUUUGAUACUGAAGAUCUUGAGUCCGGGAGAGGUGAGUGGAACUGCGAGUGUAGAGGUGAAAUUCGUAGAUAUUCGCAAGAACACCAGUGGCGAAGGCGGCUCACUGGCCCGGUACUGACGCUGAGGCACGAAAGCGUGGGGAGCAAACAGG
rnacentral:rRNA from 1 species